rnacentral:rRNA from 1 species
AACAGGAUUAGAUACCCUGGUAGUCCACGCUGUAAACGAUGUCGACUUGGAGGUUGUGCCCUUGAGGCGUGGCUUCCGGAGCUAACGCGUUAAGUCGACCGCCUGGGGAGUACGGCCGCAAGGCUAAAACUCAAAUGAAUUGACGGGGGCCCGCACAAGCGGUGGAGCAUGUGGUUUAAUUCGAUGCAACGCGGAGAACCUUACCUACUCUUGACAUCCAGAGAAUUUGCUAGAGAUAGCUUAGUGCCUUCGGGAACUCUGGGACAGGUGCUGCAUGGCUGUCGUCAGCUCGUGUUGUGAAAUGUUGGGUUAAGUCCCGCAACGAGCGCAACCCUUAUCCUUUGUUGCCAGCACGUAAUGGUGGGAACUCAAAGGAGACUGCCGGUGAUAAACCGGAGGAAGGUGGGGAUGACGUCAAGUCAUCAUGGCCCAUACGAGUAGGGCUACACACGUGCUACAAUGGCAUAUACAAAGAGAAGCGAACUCGCGAGAGCAAGCGGACCUCAUAAAGUAUGUCGUAGUCCGGAUUGGAGCCUGCAACUCGACUCCAUGAAGUCGGAAUCGCUAGUAAUCGUAGAUCAGAAUGCUACGGUGAAUACGUUCCCGGGCCUUGUACGCACCGCCCGUCACACCAUGGGAGUGGGUUGCAAAAGAAGUAGGUAGCUUAACCUUCGGGAGGGCGCUUACCACUUUGUGAUUCAUGACUGGGGUGAAGUCGUAACAAGGUAACC